GGCUUUAAUGCCUUCAAUUACUUUAUUCAGCAUAAUAAGAUUGAAACAAGCUCAUUUCCCUAACCAAACACAUUCUGCUCUGCUGAAUACUGUGAUUAUGGGUUAAUUCACAAGCAGAAAAUGAUGAAACAGAUUCAAGAAACAACAAACACCAGAAAGAGAUUUGGGGGAGGAAAGCACUCCAAAAGAAGUGGAAUUACAUGGACUUUAGAAACAAACUAAAAGUAAAAUCAGGGUCAAACCCAGAACCCACCAAUUAUAACAAGCCCCCCCACCCCCGCUUUGCCUCUACAAGUCUGAAUUGUAUUGCUAAUUGAAAAUCACAAAUCCAUUCCAGAUGUGUGCAUCAUAUAAGUAGGCAGCUUGCCUUUGAUGAAAAAAGCUCAGGGCAACAGAGAUAAAGAAAAUAAAUCUCACCAAAUAGCAGCCAGGGGCUCCUUGCCGUUGUGCACACUGCCCUAGAUGGCAGUGUCCCAAACCAAAGGACAGCCUGGUAUCUACCGGGCACAAACCAACAGUUCUCAACAAGGGCAUGAUGUUCAAGUAGUUAUUGCCUGGAUAAAACUCCAGUGGGGACAGAACUGCACACACAGCUAUCUGCUGAAACCUCCUAGACACCUACCCUCCUCAAUGUUUAUCUCAGAUCUGUGGUCUUGUUCCCAGCCUGAAGCCCCCUCUGGCAGAAAAUCUAAAUUCUUUUCCAAACACAUAUUUGCUUAUAAAGCACCUGGGAAUUUAGUAUGGAAUAGACAGGCUGAAUUGAGUACACAGGAAAUUGUCUAGUAAUCUUGAUUCUGACAUUUGCUACAACAAUUAAAUGCUUAUUUGGGUAUCACUAAGAAUGCAGGAAUAAACAGAAUCAAGGGCAUGUGGAGCCCAGAUGACUUACUAUCUCCUAGAACACUGUAUAGACUCUUGUCACUAUUAUACCAACUUCACAGGUCUAAAAC
rnacentral:lncRNA from 1 species